rnacentral:rRNA from 1 species
UACGGGGGGGCAAGCGUUGUUCGGAAUUACUGGGCGUAAAGGGCUCGUAGGCGGCCAACUAAGUCAGACGUGAAAUCCCUCGGCUUAACCGGGGAACUGCGUCUGAUACUGGAUGGCUUGAGGUUGGGAGAGGGAUGCGGAAUUCCAGGUGUAGCGGUGAGAUGCGUGAGAUAUCUGGAGGAACACCGGUGGCGAAGGCGGCAUCCUGGACCAAUUCUGACGCUGAGGAGCGAAAGCCAGGGGAGCAAACGGG